rnacentral:rRNA from 1 species
CGCGGCCUAUCAGCUUGUUGGUGAGGUAAUGGCUCACCAAGGCGACGACGGGUGGCCGGCCUGAGAGGGUGACCGGCCACACUGGGACUGAGACACGGCCCAGACUCCUACGGGAGGCAGCAGUGGGGAAUAUUGCACAAUGGGCGAAAGCCUGAUGCAGCGACGCCGCGUGCGGGAUGACGGCCUUCGGGUUGUAAACCGCCUUCAGCAGGGAAGAAGCGCAAGUGACGGUACCUGCAGAAGAAGCGCCGGCUAACUACGUGCCAGCAGCCGCGGUAAUACGUAGGGCGCGAGCGUUAUCCGGAAUUAUUGGGCGUAAAGAGCUCGUAGGCGGUUUGUCACGUCUGCUGUGAAAGCCCGGGGCUCAACCCCGGGUGUGCAGUGGGUGCGGGCAGACUAGAGUGCAGUAGGGGAGACUGGAAUUCCUGGUGUAGCGGUGAAAUGCGCAGAUAUCAGGAGGAACACCGAUGGCGAAGGCAGGUCUCUGGGCUGUUACUGACGCUGAGGAGCGAAAGCAUGGGGAGCGAACAGGAUUAGAUACCCUGAUAGUCCAUGCCGUAAACGUUGGGCACUAGGUGUGGGGAACAUUCCACGUUUUCCGCGCCGUAGCUAACGCAUUAAGUGCCCCGCCUGGGGAGUACGG